CAAUAGCGUAUAUUAAAGCUGUUGCGGUUAAAAAGCUCGGAGUUGGAUUUCUGUCAAGGACAACUGGUCCGCCCUCCGGGUGAGCACAUAGUUUGGUCUUGACAUCUUGCUGGAAGCUGUUGCUGCACUUGGCUGUGUGGCGCAGUGUUCAGCACUUUCACUUUGAGGAAAUUGGAGUGUUUCAAGCAGGCACAUGCCUUUGGACACAGUAGCAUGGAAUAAUUAGAUUGGGCUUUUGCUCCAAUUUGUCGGUUUCUGGAGCUGAGGUGAGUAUUAAUGGGGAUUGUUGGGGGCAUCCGAAUUUAGCCGUCAGAGGUGAAAUUCUUGGAUCUGCUAAAGACGGACAACUGCGAAAGCGUUUGCCCAGGAUGUUUUCAUUGA
rnacentral:rRNA from 1 species